GAUGAACGCUAGCUACAGGCUUAACACAUGCAAGUCGAGGGACCGGCGCACGUGUGAGUAACACGUAUCCAACCUGCCCUUUACUCGGUGAUAGCCUUUCGAAAGAAAGAUUAAUACCCGAUAUAAAGGAUGGGGUUGCGUUGAAUUAGGUUGUUGUUGAGGUAACGGCUCACCAAGCCUUCGAUGGAUAGGGGUUCUGAGAGGAAGGUACACGACAGUGGAACUGAGAAACGGACCAAACUCCGACGGGCGGCAGCGGUGAGGAAUAUUGGUAAAUGGGCGCUAUCCUGACCCAGACAAGUAGCGGGAAGGAUGAAGGGUUAUGGGUCGUAAACUUCUUUUAUAUAAGAAUAGGUAUUAUAUGAAUAAGGAUCGGCUAACGCCGUGCCAGCCGCCGCGGUAAUUC
rnacentral:rRNA from 1 species